UGGGGAAUAUUGCCAAAUGGGCGAAAGCCUGAUCCAGCCAUGCCGCGUGUGUGAAGAAGGCCUUUUGGUUGUAAAGCACUUUAAGUGGGGAGGAAAAGCUUAUGGUUAAUACCCAUAAGCCCUGACGUUACCCACAGAAUAAGCACCGGCUAACUCUGUGCCAGCAGCCGCGGUAAUACAGAGGGUGCAAGCGUUAAUCGGAAUUACUGGGCGUAAAGCGCGCGUAGGUGGUUAUUUAAGUCAGAUGUGAAAGCCCCGGGCUUAACCUGGGAACUGCAUCUGAUACUGGAUAACUAGAGUAGGUGAGAGGGGAGUAGAAUUCCAGGUGUAGCGGUGAAAUGCGUAGAGAUCUGGAGGAAUACCGAUGGCGAAGGCAGCUCCCUGGCAUCAUACUGACACUGAGGUGCGAAAGCGUGGGUAGCAAACAGGAUUAGAUACCCUGGUAGUCCACGCCGUAAACGAUGUCUACCAGUCGUUGGGUCUUUUAAAGACUUAGUGACGCAGUUAACGCAAUAAGUAGACCGCCUGGGGAGUACGGCCGCAAGGUUAA
rnacentral:rRNA from 1 species